rnacentral:lncRNA from 1 species
CCUUGUUGCAGUUAUUUAUCCAUAUCACUACAAAUUUUGCACGUGUGGUGCACAGUCUUUACCAAUAUGGAGAUGGAUUUGGAGUUCAGGACAGAGAUACUAAGAAGCAGAUCCUGUCUUUGCUGAUUGAACCUAUGCCACCGUCACCUUUUAGUUGAAGUUUCAUAUUUCCUCAGAACAUAAUAAUGUGAAUCAUCCUCCGAUGAUCCCUUCAAUAAUAUUAAGUACUCUCUUGAAAAUAAAAAGAUAUUGUCUCUUCGCUCGCUAUGUAUACAAAUUAAAUGUGGCAUCACCAUUUCUCAUCUUUCUAUAUUCUCUAUUAUCUAAUAAAUAGAGAAAUUUUCUUUUAAAUUUGGCUUUUCAUCUUCUCAUAAUUAAUUUGAUUGUUAUUACACAAUAACAAUUAUGUAAAGAUUUUAAUGAAGCAUAUUCUUUGUAAUGAACAUCUAAGGAGGAGUAUUAUGAAUUUAUUAAAAUAAAUAUAGAUGUUCAUAACAUAUAUAUCUUAGUCUCCCCACUAUCUCCCAUUACUUAGUCUCCCCACUAUCUCCCAUUAGCAACCUUUAGCUUUCCUAUAACUUCCACUAUCUCACAAGAAAUUAUGAUCCAUAAUUUUUCAUUAAUUUCAUGGAAUGAUUAUGUAACUAUAAAAGGAGAGCUCAUCUUUUGUUUUGUACACACACAAUUGGAAUGAAUAAAAUCACUCACGAAUUCCUAAAAUUUGACAGAUGACUUGAUUUCAAUUUUCAAGUUUGUUAUUAUUAGUAUUAUUUUUUUUCUUAUCAGUAAAUUAAAUUGUAAUAACAGGCGGAGCUAGAGAGAGGGGACGUGGCUUCAUCAAUCCUGUGUUGUAUGACGGAAAUGAAUAUUUCGGAGGAGAUAGCUCGAAAUUAUAUUAAAGGCAUGAUAAGUAAAACAUGGACAAAGAUAAAUGGACAAUGCUUCACACAAUCACCCUUGUUGCAGUUAUUUAUCCAUAUCACUACAAAUUUUGCACGUGUGGUGCACAGUCUUUACCAAUAUGGAGAUGGAUUUGGAGUUCAGGACAGAGAUACUAAGAAGCAGAUCCUGUCUUUGCUGAUUGAACCUAUGCCACCGUCACCUUUUAGUUGAAGUUUCAUAUUUCCUCAGAACAUAAUAAUGUGAAUCAUCCUCCGAUGAUCCCUUCAAUAAUAUUAAGUACUCUCUUGAAAAUAAAAAGAUAUUGUCUCUUCGCUCGCUAUGUAUACAAAUUAAAUGUGGCAUCACCAUUUCUCAUCUUUCUAUAUUCUCUAUUAUCUAAUAAAUAGAGAAAUUUUCUUUUAAAUUUGGCUUUUCAUCUUCUCAUAAUUAAUUUGAUUGUUAUUACACAAUAACAAUUAUGUAAAGAUUUUAAUGAAGCAUAUUCUUUGUAAUGAACAUCUAAGGAGGAGUAUU